rnacentral:rRNA from 1 species
AUGAAACCUGUAAAUGCAGUUGAUCCCAUUGAUGUGUUAAACAUCAAAAUGAAGAGAUUCAAAAAAUUCUUCAAAGGGUGGGGAUCCAACUUGUUUGGGAAAUCUAGAAAGAGAAGGACAGACCUUAGAGAGGAACUUGAACAUCUAGAAAAAUUAGAAGAAACUGAUGUGCUUUCUCCCGAAUUAUACUGCAAGAAAGUGGAUAUUUUGGCAGAACUUUAUGAUCUACUGGUGGAAGAAGAGAUUGCAUGGAUGCAAAAAUCUCAUGAAAAUUGGUUGUUGAAAGGGGAUAGAAAUAUUGAAUACUUUCAUAGAAUUGUAAAUGGGAGAAGAAGGAGAAAUACUAUUUUCUCACUUAGCUGUGGAGAUGAGAUAAUUGAGGGAACUAGAAACUUGCUGAAACAUGCAACUGAGUUUUAUAAAGAACUUUUUGGGCCUGCAGCUGGAAAUCUAUGCAAACUUAAGGAAAAUAUGUGGGAACCAAAUGAAAAACUGUCAAAUAUUGACAACUUUAUUCUUACUAGACCUUUCUCUGAAACAGAAAUAAAAAAUGCUCUUUUCUCUAUGAAGAAAAAUAAAGCACCAGGUCCAGACAAUAUGCCCAUUGAAUUCUUUCAACAUUGCUGGGACAUAGUAAAAAAUGAAGUGCUACUCUUGUUUGAGUGGUUUCAUGACAACAAACUAGAUGUACAAUGUUUGAACUAUGGGAUAAUUACUUUACCACCCAAAGUGGUAGGAGCGAAUAAAAUUCAGCAGUUUCGACCCAUAUGCUUGCUGAGAUGCAUUUAUAAACUCAUCACUAAGGUGCUUACAAUUAGACUGGAGCCUUUUGUGGAUAUCCUAUUUAGUAGGCAUCAAAAUGCUUUUAUCAAAAAAAGACAUAAUGGAUGGAAUCAUGUCUUUAUAUGA